CCUACGGGACGCAGCAGUGGGGAAUAUUGCACAAUGGGCGCAAGCCUGAUGCAGCCAUGCCGCGUGUAUGAAGAUGGCCUUCGGGUUGUAAAGUACAUUCAGCGGGGAGGAAGGUGUUGAGGUUAAUAACCUCAGCAAUUGACGUUACCCGCAGAAGAAGCACCGGCUAACUCCGUGCCAGCAGCCGCGGUAAUACGGAGGGUGCAAGCGUUAAUCGGAAUUACUGGGCGUAAGGCGCACGCAGGCGGUCUGUCAAGUCGGAUGUGAAAUCCACGGGCUCAACCAGGGAACUGCAUUCGAAACUGGCAGGCUAGAGUCUUGUAGAGGGGGGUAGAAUUCCAGGUGUAGCGGUGAAAUGCGUAGAGAUCUGGAGGAAUACCGGUGGCGAAGGCGGCCCCCUGGACAAAGACUGACGCUCAGGUGCGAAAGCGUGGGGAGCAAACAGGAUUAGAUACCCCGGUAGUC
rnacentral:rRNA from 1 species